GGAUUAGGGAUUCAUUUUUUCUCUACACAAAGAAGAAGUAAAAGAAGAGGACUGCAGCCGGGUUCUCUUCAAGGAUGGGUCCUCUGCACCCGUGCUUCUCACCGGUAGCGCCUACUACAGACGGAGGCGAGGGUGAAGGUGACACCUUCUGUAGAGGGAGGUGAAUUUGACAGCAACACUAUUGAGGUUCUCGGCACCUGGGGUCUAUCAAAGUCGCAUAUUCCAUUCUUCCAUUUCGUUGAAGUCGAGACCCAACAAGCAUUGAAUCCUCACUCUCAUGAUAAACUCAUAUCUCUGAAAGUUUUUGAAACUUUGAUCUCUAAAACUUUAUGAAAUUUUUUUCAUAGUGAACUUUUCUAAAAUGGCUUGUUUGGAGAUUUAAAUGGCUGUAAAGAAUGAAGAUUAUGUAACUAUAUGGGUGGCAAAGAUAUGGAAAGACAAUCAAUUAAUGUUUUCAGUAUGCGACUUCUAAGGGCUGAGUGUGGUGGGAAUAACACAUAUAACUACGAGGAAAUCAAUGAAACUCUAAAUGAAUGGGCAGCUAAGCUCCUUGGGUGGAUGAGCCGAAGCUAGGGUAACUUUUGAAAUUAGAAUUCAGAAACAAACUAAUUAAAUUUAAGGCGUGUACUUAUAUAGUUAAGGCAAGGAUUCUUACAUAGUUUUUUUGCAAGAAUGUAUUCACAUUUUAAUCAUGUAAGGAUAGUUACAUAGUUAAGACAAGGAUGUAUUUACAUAGUUAGUGCAAGAAUUAUACCUUUUAAUCUUGCAAGUUUAGCUUUAUAAUAUACUGAAUUAUGUUGAUUUUGCAUGCUAGGUGAUUUUGUUUGGAUUAUACUGUAAUUAACUUUUGAAUGAAUGUAGAGAUUUAAAACAGGAAAAAGAUUU